UCCCCGUUACCGGGGCAGUCUGAAUAGAAAAAUACAACUAUUCAUAAGGGUUGCGCUCGUUGAUGGACUUAACCAAACAUCUCACGACACGAGCUGACGACGGCCAUGCAACACCUGUCACUUGGUUCAAUAAAGCACUCACUGCUUUCGCAGUAAUUCCAAGGAUGUCAAGUCCAGGUAAGGUUCUUCGGUUACCAUCGAAUUAAAGAACAUGAUCCACCGCUUGUGCGGGUCCCCGUCAAUUCCUUUAUGUUUUAGCCUUGCGGCCGUACUCCACAGGCGGGAUGCUUAACGCGUUAGCUUCGCUACGGAAGGGGUCGAUACCCCCCACAGCUAGCAUCCAUCGUUUACGGCGUGGACUAC
rnacentral:misc_RNA from 1 species